rnacentral:sRNA from 1 species
AUAUCUCUCUGUACGGGGAGGAUGAGAAGCUUCGACUAAGGUUCGAUUCGAGCGUCAGCGAGAAAGCGUUGCCGCAGGCAACGACCCGAAGGGCGAAGCGCGCAGCGCUGAGUCAUCCUUCCCCCACCACCA